AGUGGUCAAGGCCGCGCUCGCGCCGAGGGGCUGCGAGAGUGACCGCGGCUGCUCCAGCGCUGACGCCGAGCCAUGGCGGACGAGGAGCUUGAGGCGCUGAGGAGACAGAGGCUGGCCGAGCUGCAGGCCAAACACGGGGAUCCUGGUGAUGCGGCCCAACAGGAAGCAAAGCACAGGUAUGGGCUGGAAACGUGAACUUUUUGAAGGGUGGUUUCACCAAAUGGAUUUCUUUUGCUGUAGUUAUUUUAAGCAGGUGUGUGACUCAGAUUUUUUUGUUUUGCUGGAAUGGUGAUUUGGCCAAAAUCAUCCGCAGGGUAUCUUCAUUAUUGUUAAAUAAACACGUGUGCAGCUCCACAUCAGACCUUGUAUUGCAAUUACUGGUUGAUGUUUCUCUGCUACAAUGUGAGUACCUUAAAAAUGAGCCUGAUAAUAGGCAGCUGUGGCAGUUUCCUCGGCUGUGGGGGUGACGUGAGUCCGGUGCCUCACUUAGUAAGUGCUCAAUAAGUGUUAACUGGUAAGCUAUUCUGAUUGUUUUAUCCCAACACAGCGCACAGCACCUGAGACAGAUGCAGGUAAUUGAUUCGGUGGCAGGUUUAUUGAAUGAGUAUGUGAUUACCCUAUCAUGCUAUCAUUUUUUAAAAAUUGUGGUUAAAUAAAAUUUCACCAUCACAACCAUUUUUAAGUGUGCUCUUCAGUAGUGUUCACACUCUAGAAUGUUUUCAUCUUGCAAGACUGAAACCUUUAGCUACUGGACAAUUCUCUAUUUCCCC
rnacentral:lncRNA from 10 species